CGAACGAGAACCCUCCCUUCGGGGAGGGGAAAGUGGCGCACGGGUGAGUAACACGUGGGUAAUUUACCUUUGGGUGGGGAACAACAGCCGGAAACGGCUGCUAAUACCGCAUAAUGCAGCGGCUCGACAUCGAGACAGUUGUUAAAGCGGGGGAUCGCAAGACCUCGCGCCUAAAGAGAAGCCCGCGGCAGAUUAGCUAGUUGGUAGGGUAAUGGCCUACCAAGGCGACGAUCUGUAACCGGCCUGAGAGGGCGGUCGGUCACACUGACACUGACAUACGGGUCAGACUCCUACGGGAGGCAGCAGUCGGGAAUUUUGGGCAAUGGGCGAAAGCCUGACCCAGCAACGCCGCGUGAAGGAUGAAGCUUUUCGGAGUGUAAACUUCACAAGAAUGGGAAGAAUAAGUUUAGGAUAAUACCCUGAACGAUGACGGUACCAUUUGUAAGCUCCGGCUAACUCCGUGCCAGCAGCCGCGGUAAUACGGGGGGAGCAAGCGUUGUUCGGAUUUACUGGGCGUAAAGGGCGCGUAGGCGGCGCGACAAGUCACUUGUGAAAUCUCUGAGCUCAACUCAGAACGGUCAAGUGAUACUGUCGUGCUAGAGUGCGGAAGGGGCAACUGGAAUUCUUGGUGUAGCGGUGAAAUGCGUAGAUAUCAAGAGGAACACCUGCGGCGAAGGCGGGUUGCUGGGCCGACACUGACGCUGAGGCGCGAAAGCUAGGGGAGCGAACGGGAUU
rnacentral:rRNA from 1 species